CACGUAGGGUGCGAGCGUUGUCCGGAAUUAUUGGGCGUAAAGAGCUCGUAGGCGGUGUGUCGCGUCGGCCGUGAAAACCUGCAGCUUAACUGUGGGCUUGCGGUCGAUACGGGCAUCACUGGAGUUCGGCAGGGGAGACUGGAAUUCCUGGUGUAGCGGUGAAAUGCGCAGAUAUCAGGAGGAACACCGGUGGCGAAGGCGGGUCUCUGGGCCGAUACUGACGCUGAGGAGCGAAAGCGUGGGGGAGCGAGCAGG
rnacentral:rRNA from 1 species